rnacentral:antisense_RNA from 1 species
UUUCGCGUCUGGUUUUUUCGCCAGAAUGCCGUUACCGACCGCAUGUAAUAAGUGAGUUUUACCAAGACCAGUGCCACCAUA